rnacentral:rRNA from 1 species
CCUACGGGUGGCAGCAGUGAGGAAUAUUGGUCAAUGGCCGGAAGGCUGAACCAGCCAUGCCGCGUGAAGGUCAGUGCCCUAUGGGCGUUAAACUUCUUUUGUGCGGGAGCAAUAAUGGUCACGUAUUGCCCGACGAGAGUACCGUGCGAAUAAGCAUCGGCUAACUCCGUGCCAGCAGCCGCGGGAAGACGGGGGAUUCAAGCGUUAUCCGGAAUUAUUGGGGUUUAAGGGGCCGUAGGCUGUGAGGUAAGUCAGCGGUGAAAUGCCCCCGCUCAAAGGGGUGAAGUGCCAUUGAUACUGGCUUGCUGGAAUGCGGAUGAGGUGGGAGGAAUGUGUGGUGUAGCGGUGAAAUGCAUAGAUAUCACACAGAACACCGAUUGCGAAGGCAUCUCACGAAUCCGAGACUGACGCUGAUGCACGAAAGCGUGGGUAUCAAACAGGAUUAGAUACCCGUGUAGUC